UUUUUUUUUGAGCGGGCUUUGGAACGUGGGCUCUCUUUGGACAUAGAGAUCUAUACAGUAGUUCUGACAGGGGUAGCGGUGUACGGGAGCUGUGUCUGGGAGAGAUGCCAAUCGCUCACAAAAGACUGAACCCAAAGAGAGAGAGAGAGAGAGAGAGAGAAAAAAUUCAGGCCACCGGACCAAAAGCAGAGCACAGAUUUGAUAUGUUUUAUUUAUUUUUUUCGUUCACGCACAAUGUUACACAGACACGUGAGAGGGAGCGUGGACGGGAACGUGGCUCCGCUUUCUGUGGCGGAUUCUUCGUGCACGAUCUCUCGCAGAAUUAAAAAAAACCCUCUCUGGAACACAUGCUUGGAGGGAGCACUGUACUUCCAAGAAGCUGGUCGUGCUGAUGGUUCAGAAGCCCAAGAGGCAAGAGAGAAAGGCACAUCUGAGAAACGCCAAGAGGGGAGGGAAAGGAGGAAAGAAGAAAAACGGAAGGAGGAGGAGGGGAGGACCUUUUCCAGCCUGUUAAAUGUUCCCCAGGCCCAGCCAAGGCGAAGGCAGGCACUGCAUGCUGAUUUGCAUUCAGCGGACAUGCUAAUUGUGUGUUUUGUAACAUACUCCAUUCAUUCGGACGAGGCUCUAGUCUACAGACGGGCUUCAUACACGCCUCCCAGACACCCGCGUGGCCUCCUAUUGUUGCCGAGGCCGCUUUAACCGAGCCGAACAGCUCCAGGCCCGGGCCAAGGCACAAUGCAGAGCACGGGGGUAGCCUGGAUCUCUAGGCUGCUGUGGAGAGAGGACAGAACGGGGAAACUCUUAGCUAGAGCUCCCUUCUCAGAUUCGGAGUUCCUCUAUCAUCUCUUUCUCCCUCCACAACGAAGAAGAUAUUGCAGGGGGAAAAAAGAAAGCUUUCUGAGAAGGAAAAGAGGCCUGUAGGAAUUCGAACCCGAGUAUCCGAAACACUUUUAGAGGCUUGAGGGUUAGAUUUCUGUGUGUGUGAAGCUUGAUCCUGUCCUGCACACUCACACGAGGCUUUCUGCACAGAUGGAGGCGAGCAAUGUUGAGGCACACUGGAAGGAUGCACCAACAUACAAACUGGAACCCUUUAAGAGGACGAUGAUUUGCUUGAUCCAGCUGCAGACUGCAAGUCUGACUUGUUCAGUGCGAUGAAUGCUAUGAAUUUACCAGCCAAGAUGUUUAGCUAGUUUCAGGAAGUGAAUGAGCAAUGUUGCAGUGAUAGUCAUACAUAUUUGCUUGGCUUCUCUUGGACAAUGCUUUCACUGUACUGAUACCGUAUUUAUUUUCUGUAUACACUGUCAAUAAAUAGUAAAGUUCUGAUAAUUACUGUGCAUACCGUUCAUGCUAACGUACAUGUCAUGACGCUUCCUUUGUCACGCUCACAUGAGAUUAAGACGUCAGCAAGUAUCUAAUGCUAUUGAAUCAUCCAGCCUUC